rnacentral:rRNA from 1 species
UACGUAGAGGGCAAGCGUUGUCCGGAAUCAUUGGGCGUAAAGAGCGCGUAGGCGGCCCUGUAAGUCCGCUGUGAAAGUCAAGGGCUCAACCCUUGAAUGCCGGUGGAUACUGCAGGGCUAGAGUCCGGAAGAGGCGAGUGGAAUUCCUGGUGUAGCGGUGAAAUGCGCAGAUAUCAGGAGGAACACCGAUGGCGAAGGCAGCUCGCUGGGACGGUACUGACGCUGAGGCGCGAAAGCGUGGGGAGCGAACAGG